AGUAACAAUUAUUAUCCGGACCUCUGCAUACAUUUGAACUUAUCUAGCUAGACCUUUACUCAUAAAAGUUGAGUAGCCCUGUAUAGUGCAUGAUGAAGUGUGUUGAUGGUGUGCUAUGUAAAUGGGCUGGUUAGGUGUUUUUUCUAACUGAUUCUGCUCUCAAUCAAGGUAUAUAAGUAAACUGAUAAAGAAAUUAAUGAAUUGAUAAGUGAACAAGGAAUUCAAUAUGAGAAUAUUAAAAAGAAACCAAUAAAUCAAUAAAGAAUUAAGUACAGCAAAACCUUUAGGUUUGUACAAUUGGAACAGAGGCCUUGCCAACUUAACUAAAUUGCCAAUCUAUGUAAUAGCCCACCCCCCUUUUCUGGCACCUCUGAAUCCCCAGGGUUGCCAUAUACUAGGGGUUUUACAUUAUCAGACAGUGGAUCCUGUAUUUCACAAAUUUCUAUUUAAGAAUUUUUAUAAAGUCUGAGAGCUGAAUUUAGGAUAACUUUUCCAUAUACGAUUUUAUUCUAUUUAACAUGAAUCAUAUUACAGUAGUGGUGAAAAUAAAAAUAUAAACAAAAAUCCAUCCAUUGGUCCAUAGAGCAACAAAAUGAUUAUAUUAAACAAGGAAAUAAAUCAAGGAAUGAGUAAAUGAAUGCAUAAAUGAAUUAGUAAAUAAAAAUAAAUGAAAUAGGUGCCUCUCAGUUAGGCUUAAUGUGUGAGGUUCACCUAACAGGCCUACUGUAACAGCACCCUGUGUGGUGUGGGAGAUAGCAGGACUGCUGGAGGGCUUCUGUAUCUUGUUUAUGUGUGAUAACAAGGAAGCAACACAUCAGUUAUUACAGGGUAUUGAUUUCUCAGUUUUCCCCACAUUACAAUACAUGAUAGAAGGCUGUGAAUGAAGGAGAGGGAGGGUGGUAGGGCUGCAAGAUGUGCAUGGGAGGAUGAAGGAGAGGAAAGGGAUGGUUCAUGAGGAUAGAAAGCUUUGAGUGAAGUGGGAGAGGAGGCAGGACAACCAGAUACUGUGUGGGAGGAGAGGAAGGAAAGCACAGCACAAGGGAGGGUGAUGGAAAGGAGAGGUAGGAUGAUCAGGUAAUAUAUGGCAGGGAAGAGGAGAGGGGAGAGUAAGUUAGGUCACUGUAGAUGUGAGGGAGGAGAGGAAGGCAGUAUGUAGAGUUAGGUUAAGAAUUGGCGGCGAUGGUGCUGCCGCCACAGCCGCAAAAUAGCUCACAGAGGGUUUUGUUAGGUUAGGUAAGGUUAGCUAAGGUUAGGUUAGGCUAUAUUCAUGCUCCGUGAUAAAAUUCGCGGUAUUUGCAUAAAAAUAACAGGUUUGCUCUGGCGAUGGCCGCAGUGCAGCCGGUGUUGCAAGAAAUACCUCCUCGCAGAAAUAAGUCACAUUUACAUGUGGGGGAGCCCAGGGGGGGCACAGCCCCCUGGUUAGAAGGGGGGUCGAGGGGGGCGCAGCCCCCCCAUUAGCAGGUCGUAAAGUUCGGUUGGAGUAGUUUAAAUAUGUUCCCCCACUCUAAACCCUCUGCGAGCUAUUUUGCGGCUGUGACGGUGGCACCGUCGCCGCGGCCAACACCAGAGGAGGCGACACACUUUCGUAAACAUUAUCCCCUAUUUUCAAGAGUAAAAAAAAAGUCCUUGAAUUGGAUUUUGAAAGCGUUUCCAUGACUGUUGAAGGUUUGUUGAAAAGAUAUAUACCGUUUACCAUUGUUUACCGUUGAUGAGGUUUCAGGCCCUGCUCUGCUGCUGAUGCAGCGCUCUACGAGGGCCGUCAACAAUUUCAACGUUAGCCUCAAUAAUAGUCUUCGAUGCACUUAUUCUCAAACAUCAUAGUGAGUGAGUGAGUGAGUGUCUUAAUUUCUUUCAUGAAUAAUAUCACAUAUUACAAUUAGUCCAGUGUUUAUGUCUGCUGUUUUCAUUAUAGCAUCACAAUUAAAUAUUCAACAAUUAUUUCCAGCACACUGAACCUUCAUCACACACAAUUUAUCUUUGAGUACUGACACUGAUUAACCCCUUCCCGGCAGCAGGGCAGAUGUAUGUACUACCAAAAAAAAAAUCGUCUCUGUAUAGACGCUGUCGACUUUCAUCCAUACGUGUAUAUAUAGAUUCCCCGCAAGUGGGCAUUCCAGAUUGACGUCUAUAUAUAGACUCUGCCGCAAAACUGAACAAACAUUUGAAUCUAUAUAUAGAUGUUAUUUGAAUUUGAUUGGUUAUAUGUAUAUUGAUAUAUUUAUAUGAAGGUUUAGAUUCUGUAUCAGUGUAAUCAUCAAAAACAUCCAAACAAUCAGCAUCUAUAUCCUCAGCUACCAAAGAAGUCAUUUCUUCCGUCUAAAGAGGUCUCUUUCUCCUUGACAUGAUAGACUAAUAAUAAAAUAAAAUAGGAAAAAAGAAAUGCAUAAAUUCCCAGUGUUAGCUGAUGUGCAUAGCACAUCCACCACCGACAAAGCACAAGCGGUGACUGUCCUUGAGAGGCAAUGUCGGUAAGUGUCAGGGGGUUUGAGAUGCCAAAUAACGAUUUAUUUUGUUGAUUUUGUUAGUAGUAAGGAAUCGUCUAUAUAUAGACCAUGCUACAAUCUAGUGUGGGCAAAUGAGAGCAAACGUCUAUAUAUAGACGCGCCGACAAAAAGUCCCAAUUUCGAAACGUCUAUAUAUAGAUCCUCGGCCGGGAAGGGGUUAAUAGCCAUGAUCGGUCACGUUACGAAUUCUCUCAAUUUCAGUCUGGAGAACUACACAACACUGGUCAUUCGCUGAGUGGUUGAUUUCAGGCUUCUUGUAUCUCACACAAUUUAUGCAUUUCUUCUCAGCCAUGGUGCACUCCUGUGAUUUAUGAUUGCCAGUGCAUUUGAAACAAUUUGGGGCAUCUCCAUUGGUCUUGGCAGUACAGUUGGCCUCAAGAUGGCCAUAUCUCUGACAAUGAUAGUAUAUAAUUGCAUGGUAUCUGUCUCACUGUGUAUAUUCCCCAUUCUAAUUUUAACUUGUGAUUCUUGUGAAUCAGCUGUUUUAUAGUUGGGUCACACCUCAAAAUGUAGUGCAUCGUGCCGCCAGCUGCAGGCUUGCUAAAAACCAGCUCAAUCUUAUCCUCAACACCCCCAAUGGCGUGUAAGAACUCAUUGCGGUCUAAGAUGGUCUCCUUUAUUUUUUCCUUAAUCUCCUCUUUAUGCACAUUGCAUAUCAUGAUCUUUGGUUUCAUCUUUCCAACACUCUUGGUAUUAAUUUGCUGAACAGACUCCAGUUUUUGAGCAGCCUCAUCCCUUGUGUUCUCAUUAUCAAAGUUCAUGAUAAUGUUACCUCUAUUUGUAAAUCUUGAAUCAGUUAUCUGAAUACCAUUCAAUGCCCGAGACUUCAUCCUUCAUGUCUGUUGCCUUCUUUUCCUGUGUAGAAGCUUUUACAACUAAGAGAUUUUUCUUGACCUUCUUGCCUCUCUUUGCCACCUCAGCCCAGCUAGAUUCAGCAUGCUCAGCAAGUUUAAGCAUGUCAACAACUGAUCCCAGCUCCUGCACCUUCACAGCCCUUGAUUCAACUUCAUCCUUAACCACAGAUAUUUCCUUAGAUAAUUGUUGCUUGAAUUCAUCCAUUUUUUCCACAAUUUUGGUAGCCAGAGAUGCUUUAUGGAGGCAUGGGUUGCACAUCCAAUUAAUUUUAAGUAUAUUCUCCUGCUUAAUUCCAGACAAAUGAGCACACUUCACAUGACACCAUUUAGGGCACAAACAGCAUCCAAUCCAUUUCUCGCCUGUGAAAUCCUUACAAAUGUAACACAAAUCCAACGGGACCUUGGCUUUGCCAGCUAUGUCGACACAGCACUUUCCACACGGAGCAAGACAUGACACAUCCGAUCAUGGCCACGACCACUCACCACAAGAGACAGUGAUGUUUCAUAAAGUAGAUAAUGAGAUACUGGCACAGUACUAAAACAAAUCUUUACCAGUACUUAUAUUUAUUAGGUUUGUUAGUAUUAUACGUGUUAUUAAAAUUCCGCCACUUUUAAUGGACUUCCAACAUUAACGGACUAAGUUCCCCUCAUAAGUCCAUUGUGCCGAGGGUUUACCAUAUAGGUAUAGGUACAUCUUUUGUAUGCCGGUGUGGGUUUUAUUCACAAAUAAAGUUUUCAUGCAAUGACUUGGAUUUUGGUCACUCUUCAUACAAGGGGUUGGAGUUUUAUCACAGAACCCUUAAAAACGGCACACAGGCCAGGUGACCCAUACUUUACACAACACACAGGCCAGGUGAACCAUACAUAACAAGGUACAGGCCAGGUGAACCAUACUUUACAAGGUGCACAGGCCAGGUGAACCAUACAUAACAAGGUGCACAGGCCAGGUGAACCAUACAUAACAAGGUGCACAGGCCAGGUGAACCAUACAUAACAAGGUGCACAGGCCAGGUGAACCAUACAUAAGAAGGUGCACAGGCCAGGUGAACCAUACAUAACAAGGUGCACAGGCCAGGUGAACCAUACAUAAGAAGGUGCACAGGCCAGGU